rnacentral:rRNA from 1 species
AACGAACGCUGGCGGCAGGCUUAACACAUGCAAGUCGAACGCCCCGCAAGGGGAGUGGCAGCCGGGUGAGGAACGCGUGGGAACAUACCCUUUUCUACGGAAUAGCUCUGGGAAACUGGAAUUAAUACCGUAUACGCCCUACGGGGGAAAGAUUUAUCGGGGAAGGAUUGGCCCGCGUUGGAUUAGCUAGUUGGUGGGGUAAAGGCCUACCAAGGCGACGAUCCAUAGCUGGUCUGAGAGGAUGAUCAGCCACAUUGGGACUGAGACACGGCCCAAACUCCUACGGGAGGCAGCAGUGGGGAAUAUUGGACAAUGGGCGCAAGCCUGAUCCAGCCAUGCCGCGUGAGUGAUGAAGGCCUUAGGGUUGUAAAGCUCUUUCACCGAUGAAGAUAAUGACGGUAGUCGGAGAAGAAGCCCCGGCUAACUUCGUG